rnacentral:lncRNA from 1 species
CUGGUUGUGCAACCCUCGACCAUGGAGGCGUUGCUUCUGCAUUGAUUCACAGGUCGAAGAUGAUAAAGUCGCUUUAGGUUUUGUUUCUUAUGGUAGCGACACAACUGUUGCAGAUUUCUUGGUUUUCUGAGUGCAGGUCUUGGAUGGUGCGAUAACGAGGUUGGCUUGCGGUUGAGGCGUUGUGGCCAUGGAGGAGGCGCUGUGAUGGUCGUUCCUGCGGCGGCGGAGGAAGAAGAUGGUGCUGCUGGCUGCGAAGAUGGUUGCGCGAUGUUGGAGAAGACGAAGCUCGCGAGUUUGAUGGCGGCCUUGGGUGGCAUUCUGCGUCGCGGCGAAGGUUUGUUUGAUGUAGUGGUUCGGUGGCAAGGUAGUUGCUGACGGCAUGGUCACUGACGGCGCCAGUUAGGAUGGUGCACCGGUGAUGGAGGCGCUACUGUGGUGUGCGACGUCUGUGGAGAUGCAAUUGUUGAGCGUUUGCGAAGACGAAAGGUGCUGCUUGUGGUGUGAUUUCUGCGUUUCUGCAGGUGUGUGUGCGAGGAGGACGAAGGUGGCUGCCGGCGAUAAGGUGGGUGGUGGCGAGGCUGCUUAGAGAUUGACGGGUGUGCGGCAACUUGAACGUUGACAGCGGCGGCCAGGGAAGAGGAUUAGGGUUUCUGGAUUGGGAUUUUUUCAUGACUUUUUUUUUUUUCAAAACUUCAGCUUUUCAUCUUCCUUUUUCCUUCCUUUUUUUUUAUAUUUUGUGGUGAGAUACUCACCCACACACUUAUUCAUUACUUACUUAUAACACAAUCCAUUACUCCUUCUUCUUUCCCAAGGUGAGGAACAUAUGAUUUUUCUUCAUUUUUUUCAUUUGGCAAUUUCUGGAAANAAGAAAAAUAGUCUUAAGGCUCAAAGGGGUUUCCAAUGGAUUAAUGUUAAGGUAAGUUUAUUUGGCCAAGUAGCUAAAACAAGAAAUACCUCAAUCA